rnacentral:rRNA from 1 species
UAGAGUUUGAAUUAUGGCUCAGGGACGAAACGCUGGCGGCGUGCCUAAUACAUGCAAGUCGAGCGGACAGAUGGGAGCUUGCUCCCUGAUGUUAGCGAGCGGACGGGUGAGUAACACGUGGGUAACCUGCCUGUAAGACUGGGAUAACUCCGGGAAACCGGGGCUAAUACCGGAUGGUUGUUUGAACCGCAUGGUUCAAACAUAAAAGGUGGCUUCGGCUACCACUUACAGAUGGACCCGCGGCGCAUUAGCUAGUUGGUGAGGUAACGGCUCACCAAGGCAACGAUGCGUAGCCGACCUGAGAGGGUGAUCGGCCACACUGGGACUGAGACACGGCCCAGACUCCUACGGGAGGCAGCAGUAGGGAAUCUUCCGCAAUGGACGAAAGUCUGACGGAGCAACGCCGCGUGAGUGAUGAAGGUUUUCGGAUCGUAAAGCUCUGUUGUUAGGGAAGAACAAGUACCGUUCGAAUAGGGCGGUACCUUGACGGUACCUAACCAGAAAGCCACGGCUAACUACGUGCCAGCAGCCGCGGUAAUACGUAGGUGGCAAGCGUUGUCCGGAAUUAUUGGGCGUAAAGGGCUCGCAGGCGGUUUCUUAAGUCUGAUGUGAAAGCCCCCGGCUCAACCGGGGAGGGUCAUUGGAAACUGGGGAACUUGAGUGCAGAAGAGGAGAGUGGAAUUCCACGUGUAGCGGUGAAAUGCGUAGAGAUGUGGAGGAACACCAGUGGCGAAGGCGACUCUCUGGUCUGUAACUGACGCUGAGGAGCGAAAGCGUGGGGAGCGAACAGGAUUAGAUACCCUGGUAGUCCACGCCGUAAACGAUGAGUGCU